UCUGUGUGUUCCAAACUUUUCAUCUCUUCUUCUUCGUUAUUCUACGACUGCCCACUACUCUCCCUUCUUUUCUUUUCAGUUCAACUCCUUCAACGAUCGACGACCGACGACCGCCGCCUGCCUCUGUCUCCUAUUGAAGUUCAGCUGAAGCGUUCGUCGUGGUUCGCAUCGUCUCUCCGUUCGCGAAGUUGCCGCCGAUCUCCAUCUUCUUUCUCUUCCUCAUUUUGGUUAGCCGUCGUUGUAUUUCCCUUAGAUGACCGCCGACCGAUCCAGUUUUUCUUUCCUUCGCAUCCGACCAUCGUGAAUCGUGGAGUGCUGCCGUUGCAUUUUCGUCCAUCGACCGUGAAGCAGCCGCACGUGGUUCCCCUCUUCUAGCCACGAAUCGAAAGUCGACCCACGCUCAGAUCUCUGUUUGCACACUCUCUUUCUCGUUAGUUUGAGAGCCGUUGCCUCUACAUUGUCGUGGUUCGUGGUGCAAGUUGAGAACAACAUUUAAAUUCCUUGAGUUUCAAACGAGUUGGAUUGAAGUUUGAUUCUCCACAAUUUGGACAAAAGUAAUACGAGAGGCAGACCGACGAGGGACAAAAAGGAGACGUGAUCGCCAUAGGGGGACAUUCUUCAAAAUUUCUUCCACUUACAGAUUUUAAUGUUUUACUUAAAUAUUUGUGAUUGAAAUGAGUUUCAUGUUUAGAACGACAGUUUAUUUCUUAAUGAUUUCAUAAACGAUACUUUCGAACCUUUAUUUUGUUUGAAAUAGGAUCCGAAUAAUGAUUCUUUGAUGUUUA